GGUGAUUGGGUGAUUGACCAGAUCUAUGAGGUGGGAGUUGUGUAUUCUCCAGAACAUUAUUGGUACAUUUUCUCCUAAGUUCUGCUACUAUCCUAGUUAUUGUGCUCAGGGUUGGUCCUUGAAUACUGUUAGCCUUUUGAAGCAUCUGGCUUUCUUACUGCUUUUGAUGUUGUGGAUUGAAUCAGGGCUUUAUACUUGCUGGACACACCACCACACUGAACUAUAUGUUCCACCCGAAACUACCGUGUUUGUCUGUCUGUCUGUCUAUCUAUCUAUCUACCUAUCUAUCUAGUGUAUCUAGUCUUUUUCAGGAUAGGGUUUCUCAGUAGCCCUGGCCAUCCUAGAACUCACUCUGUAGACCAGACUGGCUUGGUUAGAGAUCUGCUUGCCUCUACCUCUGAGUGUUGGGAUUAAAGGUGUGGGACACCACCAUGUGCCAAACCUACCUACCUUCCUUCCUUCUCUUUUCUUUCUUUCAUUCUUUCUUCCUCUCUUUCCAUCUAUCCAUCCAUCCUGGGUAGCCUGAACUUGUGAUAUAGACUGGUCUCAAAUUUAAAAAGAUUCAUCUGGGGGUUGGGGAUUUGGCUCAGUGGUAGAGCGCUUGCCUAGCAACCGCAAGGCCCUGGGUUCGGUCCCCAGCUCCGAAAAAAAGAAAAAAAAAAGAAAAAGAAAAAAAAAAAAAGAAAGAAAAAAGAUUCAUCUGCCCCUAUUCUCAAAUCCUGGGACUAAGAACUCUCUAAACUGUCUCCAUUUUUAUCAAAAAACAAAACAAAAAAAUCCCAGAAAGUACAAACUGAUGUUUAGUAAUCAAAAGCAACUUUGGGACUGGGAAUGUAAUGCAGUUAAUAAAGCAUGCAUAAAACAUAUCUAAAUGGAAAAUAGAAAUCUUGGGCCAGGGUAAAGGUAUCUGCUAUCAAGCCCAUAGGCCUGAGUUUGAUCCCAAGACCCACACGGUGGAAGAGAGCCUACUUUAAUAGGCUGUCCUCUGACAUCCACUCACGUGGGAAAAGCAUGCAUGUGUUCACACACACAUACCCAUAUACAGUGUAACUUGAAACACAGAAGGGGGCUGAGGAGAUGGUUCAGCAUUGACUGCCCUUCCAGACCACCCAGGUUCAAUUUCCACACCCACAUGACGGCUCACAAUUGUUCGUAACUCCAAAAUCUGACAUCCUCAAAUACACACAUGCAGGCAAAACACCACUGCACGAAUGAGUGAAGGAACAAACAAAUAUUUUCUUA
rnacentral:lncRNA from 1 species